CUCUUGGUUCUUCUGGCUAGUAUGUGUUCGUUUGUCCCCUCUAAGAAGUUGUAUUGGUGCUUGGACCCCCGCACCUAUUUUAAUAGGCUAUGAGUCUUCUCUUUAUUCUGAUUUAACCAGACAAAGGUCGCUCCACAACUAAGAUACGGCCAUUGCAGCCCCACAUGCCAGCCUGACCCAAUCAAGAAAGAGCUCUCAAUCUGUCAAUCCUCCCAGUGUCCGGGCCGGGUAAGUUUUCCCGUGUUGAGUCAAAUUAAGCCGCAGGCUCCACUCCUGGUGGUGCCCUUCCGUCAAUUCCUUUAAGUUUCAGCUUUGCAACCAUACUUCCCCCGGAACCCAAAUACUUUGGUUUCCCGGAAGCUGCCCGCCUUGUACAUUGAGUAAAUCAGGCGGAUCCGCUUGGUUGGCAUGCUUAUGGUGCAGAACUAGGGCGGUAUCUGAUCGCCUUCGAACCUCUGACUUUCGUUCUUGAUCAAUGAAAACAUUCUUGGCAAAUGCUUUCGCAGUAGUUCGUCUUGCGACGGUCCAAGAAUUUCACCUCUAGCGCCGCAAUACGAAUGCCCCCGUCCGUCCCUCUCUUAAUCAUUACCUCGUAUUCCAAAAACCAACAGAACAGAAACGAGGUCUUGUUAUAUGACUCGGCGGGCAGCUUCCGGGAAACCAAAGUAUUUGGGUUCCGGGGGAAGUAUGGUUGCAAAGCUGAAACUUAAAGGAAUUGACGGAAGGGCACCACCAGGAGUGGAGCCUGCGGCUUAAUUUGACUCAACACGGGAAAACUUACCCGGCCCGGACACUGGGAGGAUUGACAGAUUGAGAGCUCUUUCUUGAUUCGGUGGAUGGUGGUGCAUGGCCGUUCUUAGUUGGUGGAGCGAUUUGUCUGGUUAAUUCCGAUAACGAACGAGACUCUAGCCUAUUAAAUAGGUGCGGGGUUCCCAGCACCUUACAACCUUCUUAGAGGGACAAGCGGCUCCUAGCCGCACGAAACAGAGCAAUAACAGGUCUGUGAUGCCCUUAGAUGUCCGGGGCCGCACGCGCGCUACACUGAAGGAAGCAGCGUGUCUUUAUCCCUGUCUGAAAAGACUGGGUAACCCGUGGAACUUCUUUCGUGAUUGGGAUAGGGGCUUGCAAUUGUUCCCCUUGAACGAGGAAUUCCCAGUAAGCGCGAGUCAUAAGCUCGCGUUGAUUACGUCCCUGCCCUUUGUACACACCGCCCGUCGCUACUACCGAUUGAAUGAUUUAGUGAGGUCUUCGGACCGAUGUCCGGCGCGGCCUUUCGGUUGCGCCGGUCUGUUGGAAAGAUGACCAAACUUGAUCAUUUAGAGGAAGUAAAAGUCGUAACAAGGUUUCCGUAGGUGAACCUGCGGAAG
rnacentral:rRNA from 1 species